AGGGGUUCAGUCUGUUUGAAAUUCAGUGGCUUUUACCGAUACAUACAAAAGUAAAGAUAGGUGGAAAAGAUCCCUGUUGUGUUUUAACCAUCGCAACAAGAAUUUUUCAUUUGAAAAGAAGGCAAGAAAAAAGUGAGUAGUAUCCGCCUUCCUGACGGUAAAUGUCUAAAAAUUCCAAUGAUGAAAAUUGUGGUUGCAAACAGUAUGAAGAGAGAACUUUGCGGGGACAGCAAACAACAGUAUGCGGUCGACAUUUGGUAUCAGGAUUUCAAAUAAGUGUCCCGGUCGUGUUCUGUCACCUACAUCCCAAUAUUACACCGUGUGUAUGAAAGUGCAAACAACCGCGUACAACCGUAAAACAACCGCGUACAACUCCAGCUUUUUAGCCAUGUUUGGAGAAAAAUAACAUAAAGGAUUCGUGUUGCACCAUCAGUCAUUGAUUCCGAAAUAACAGUUGGCGGCGAAUUGGCGAAAGCUUUAUGUGUGAAAUUAAUCACUGUUACAAGCUAUACGUUAAAAAAUAUCCACAAAACUGUCAUAUUCAUCAAUUAAUAUUUUUUAAAGGGGAACAAGCCAUUGUGUGAGAGAGAAAUGUGCAACGGUGCCUUUAAAUUUUACCAUGAUGUGAUUGCCAAAUUGUUUAAAAAACUUUUAUUCUUUAUCACAAUCUUCUACAUUCAACACUCCCCUCUCCCCAACACACAUACGAUAGAAGGGAAACAUAAUUUACCUAGCAUUAAGAGAAAUAUUUCUGUAUAGCAUUUAAGUACAUAUACAGAAAAGUAGACUCAAAAAAUAUAUUGUACAAACAGAAAGAAAUGCCAGCUAAUUAUUGCUGUUUGAAGCUACUUAUUUAUUAAAAGCCCUUGCAACCAUUAAAUUAGGCUUAUGAUUGAUUAACAAUUAGACUGUUCAUGCGUGAUUACUGUACAUUGAAGGUUUAAAUGAGUGAGAGGAGCUUUAUUUUUCUCAAACCGUUCCACCCCUCCUGUCCAAUUCCCUCACUCGGGAUAAAAGGUGUUAACAAUACUAGCAGCCGAGAAAGAAAUGGAAGUCACACGUACAGGUGGAAAAGCCAGACACAUGCACACCAUGCCGGACUCUGUCACACAUUAAGCAGCUAAGUUUCAUCGUUUUGCUUUGUUUCUGCUGCCCACGAGCUAAAGUUCUUGUUGACAAGCCCUGCAACUGUCACAUGCUGUGAGUCGAAAUCCGGUCACACGACCUGUCGGUUUUCACAACCGCAGUGUUGAAAAACAAGUGUGUUAACCACUACACUACUGGCCAUCCAGUAUUAAUUAGUGACUAAAGAGAUUUGAGAGAACAAAUUGGAGACAACACAGACAGGCGAUGCUCGGUUCCAUCAUGGCGCCAGAGCAAGAACAGACAUGGCGACCAAACUAAUCUCAUCCGACAGGAGAGUUCGGCACGUACAGGCGCACGAACAGACCGUGGCAGCUCGCAAAGUGUGCUCAUUGUUAUCAAAACGAGAGAUGAAGAUGAGAAGAAACAUAGUUUCAUCCAAAGACAGACGCAGACGAGAGCGGACUUGACCUGACACGAGGGCGUGUCGACUGACCUCGACGAUCGACUGAGACCAGCAGCAACACGUACGACGGCCGCUGAAGCACUAAGUUUCACUUUUCCGGAUGUCUGUAACGCACGAUGAUGUCAUGAGUGUCGUAUUCGUCACCUGCCUGGUGCCACAGGAUAGCAACCGUUGUACGACAACAUAAUUAGUCUACAUCAACCAUCCCCCCCUCCACUACUCACCAACAACCAGCUUGGUGUCGUCGCUGUUGUGUAGCAGCCCCUGACGGGGUUAUCGCAACUGUUUACAGGGCCACACGCUAGCGGGCGCCAGCUGCUGUACAAUGUCUACAGAUGGAGAGGAGACUUGCAAACAGGGCGACACACUUGAGAACCGAACGACAUAAUUUGCAACUUACAGCAGAGAAAGUAGAUACAUUCACAUAUUUACGAGAAAAUAAAGCUGCCAUUAAGUGUGUACGAAAACAAGUUUUGGAGGACCAUUCCAGAUGGUGAGGUCAGCACUCUGAGAAGUAAUGAAGAUAAACAGUUCCCAAGCCGCAUUGUCGUGGAUGCCAUAUGUUGCCGAGCCAUCAACACGUGACCUGGACUGUCUCGUAAACACGGAAAUCAGGCAAACAAUCAACAGCGCCUGUGAUGGUGGUGUACAGACACUUCCCUAACUUUUACAAUGAGUUGUUCACUAUAACACAUCUGAGCAUUUCGAUAUUUAUAACAUAAAGCCGGUGAUUGAAAAAGAACUGCCGAAAAAUCUCAUUCAAGAUGCAGGUCCGGCGUUGGUGGGAUGCGGGGCUUUGGGCGAAUGGAAUUGUGGGGCCUGUCUUUGUUGUGAGGUCCACAGAUGAGUAGGUAGCAGAGGGAGGCGAGUGAGGGGUAGGGGGAGUCAACAAGUCACAAAGUGUCUGGAGUGAUGGAUUGAACAGCAUUAGUAAGCGAUAAGGUGUCUCAUACGAGGGUUAACAGUCGGUGAAUAAUUUAGCCUUUGUUCGCCCUUCGUGUGCCAGAAAGAUUGUGAGAAAAGCCUGGGGCUACCAACCUCUGAGCAGCAACACCCAAAAGGUAGACGCUCUGUUCGAUUCCGAUGGAGACUACAUAGCAACCCGUUUCUACCCCUGAACAUACCUACAGCAGGUGGAGGCGACAUGAUGAGACCACGGUGGGCCUGUCUCCCUCAAACCACACCCCCACCCCUACAGAGUACCAACUUGUUCUCA